GGUUGUUUCACUGCUUGAGUAAAGGGGAUUAAUAAUAUUGUAAUAGAGAAUUGAGUCAUAAGAUUAAAAAACUUUCAGGUGAAUGACUUUAAGAGCAGAUUUUCCAGAAAAGGGGGAAAACUGGGUGAAUGUACUACCAAACAACCCAUGGACCAUUAGCAUCUUUUGUUGGCGAUUGACGGAUUGGGAAACCAGGAAUUAGAUUAAAAUGAAACAAUAUUGGGUGACGAUAACUGAGUAAUGAAAGUAAAUUGUUUUCUUCUGGGCAGAAUUAGCUGAGUGUUUAAAUCUUGAUUUCAAUAUUUGGUCAGAUAUCAAUUAAUGCUACUGGGUAGUUUUCACUGUGAAACCCAGCAAAUUAUUUGCUCUGCUGAUUUUACGGAAGGUUUGACAAAUAAGGAACCUGCCAGCAACCUGUGCUGGAUAUGGAAUUAUGAUGCUGUAGUCAUUUAAGCUUUUCAGUGCCUUAGGAAAUUGAACACUGGUUUGUAAUUAUUUGAGGUCUUUAAUCAACAAAUAAACAGGUAUUUACUAACUUUCCUCUUCAGGUUGAACUUGUCUAUGGAUCUGCGUAACCACAGGAUCCAUUAUGGGCUUUGCAGAAAACCUGUAAUAUCAUGAACAAAUAAUUAUUUUUCUUUCAUAAAGUUUCCUGUGUUGAUUCUCCAUAUUACGGAGCCUUCUUUUCAGGAGAGCGGAACUUUGCAUUAACUUUCCUGCUCACGGAAAACAAAUAUGAAUCAAUGGUCAAUGUAUUUAACUAUAAAGUUGACAUUUUCACUUAUUUUUUUUCAAUAUCCUGUCUAUGCCACAUUAAGCAAAUCAAAUAAAGCUGACCAGCCAAUGCCAAAUCUAUAGUAUUUGUAAUGAGCAGUAACUACAUAAUUAACACUUCUCUAUUAUUUAAGAAAAGCACAAUUGGGAAGUUACCGAGCCUUCUUUCUUACCGGGUGAUUAUAAUUAAUGAACUCCAGUGUGAUUGAGUGCAGGCCCUCAAAAUGUAAGCAGAAGGGACAAUAGCCUUACCUAAACAUUUACCUAUCAGUUUUGUGAGGUUUUACAAAUAAUGUUACCAAUGGGCCGGGGAGUACAAUGAAAAAUACUACGACCUUUGAUUCUACUUCAGAUGAUUAUCUCAUUAUACCAGUCCUUUUAAAAAAGAAAAAUGGAUAAAUUUCCUUUCCUGGGUAUUGAC
rnacentral:sRNA from 1 species